AGCAGCCGCGGUAAUUCCAGCUCCAAUAGCGUAUAUUAAAGUUGUUGCAGUUAAAAAGCUCGUAGUUGAAUUUCGGGAUCAAUACGUCGGUCGUGCCUCCGGUAUGUACUGGCGUCGUUGGUUUCUCCUUUCUGAGGAGCCAUGAUGCCAUUAAUUUGGUGUCGUGGGGAAUCAGGACUGUUACUUUGAAAAAAUUAGAGUGUUUAAAGCAGGCACGCGCUUGAAUACAUUAGCAUGGAAUAAUGAAAUAGGACGUUCGAUUCUAUUUUGUUGGUUUCUAGGGUCAACGUAAUGAUUAAUAGGGAUAGUUGGG
rnacentral:rRNA from 1 species